rnacentral:lncRNA from 1 species
AUAAAGACAUUCAGGCAGCUGAUGGAGAUACUGACCUGAUGUUGAGCUAUGGCUUCCUACCAUUAACAAGCAUUAACCUGACAAGGAUGUGAGUGAGACACCUUGGAAGUCCAUCCUCCAGUCCCAGUCAAGUCUUUAGAUGACUACAGCCUCAGCUGAGAAUCUGAGCAUAAUAUCAUGAGAGUCUUGAAGCUAGAAAUACUCAGCCAAGCUGCUUCUGAAUUCCUAACUCACAAAAACUAGUGCGACUAAAUGCAUGUAUUGAAACCUGGAUCUAAUGCGAUCGUGAAGAUAUCGUUUUACUAAUCUUUUAUUUAUGUCCCACACUUGGUAGGGCACACUUCAGAGAAAGCAAUAAACAUUAUCUGUUAAUUAUUGAGUUGCCAGAAUUUUUCAUUUUUAGGAAUAUAAGAUUUGUAGACAUCCUAAAGAAAAAUAAAUUAAUAAAACUUUUCCAAAUUAGCCAGAUGACACAUUAAAACUGAGAAUAAAAAACAAAGCCAAAAGUUGAUGUUUGUUUGGUUACAUUCUGAUCACAGACACUUGAAACCUUUGCUCUAUGUAAAACAUUGAAAAUAAGUGAAAAGAUAGCUACAUGUUUUUAUUAAGCUAUCUGCACACCCCUCCCCACCUAUGAGAAUUUCCUAGUAUUAUACAAGUGUGAAGAUUCACACUUAGCCCAGCAUAGAAGAGAGAAUGAUUGUGAUUAUCUGUCAUUGUUAAAGCUUUCAGUGUUCAAUUACCAUGAAGUAUAUGUACGGAAUCCCACUGAGUAACUAACUCUAAGACACUGUUAGAUCUGUAAAAUGUUACCCAUUCAAAUGGGUUAUUUUCACAAUGUAGUAAUGAGCACAUGGAAGACAUACUCACUUGUUGAAGUGAUGUUGGGCUAUGUGAUCUACUGCAGUCAUAGUACCUUUACAUUUUGACUCAAAUUGUUUUAUCACUUGGAAUUUUUUCUUUUUUAAAAAUAAGUUUCCAAUAUGCUAUGUAGGAAGAUGAU